AUUGAACGCUGGCGGCAGGCUUAACACAUGCAAGUCGAGCGAGCGGCGGACGGGUGAGUAAUGUCUGGGAAACUGCCUGAUGGAGGGGGAUAACUACUGGAAACGGUAGCUAAUACCGCAUACCAUCAGAUGUGCCCAGAUGGGAUGAGUUAGUAUGUGGGGUAAUGGCUCACCUAGGCGACGAUCCCUAGCUGGUCUGAGAGGAUGACCAGCGACCCUGGAACUGAGACACAGUCCAGACUCCGACGGGAGGCAGCAGUGGGGAAUAUUGCACAAUGGGCGCAAGCCUGAUGCAGCCAUGCCGCGUGUGUGAAGAAGGCCUUCGGGUUGUAAAGCACUUUCAGCGAGGAGGCGUUACUCGCAGAAGAAGCACCGGCUAACUCCGUGCCAGCAGCCGCGGUAAUUC
rnacentral:rRNA from 1 species